rnacentral:lncRNA from 1 species
UUUUUUCCAGUUAAAAAUAUGAACUGUCUUACUAGUGAUUUCAGAAGUUGGAUAUGGAAUACUAUAGAUUGGUUGUAUGGUUUCGGUAAUACGAGUAAGUAUUUUUUAAGCUGAAAUAGAUAAGAUUUAUAUAUAGGUAAGAAAUAUUGCCUUCUAAAUGUGAAGAGAGUUAACUCAUUUGGUGAAAUCUAACUUAAAAUUCUUAAAAAGCUUCAAAUAAGAUUUGUCAGAACCAUUGAACAAUGUAUUCUUUUUCUGCUGACAGUAUUUUUGUCAUCCAGAUUGUGAGUAUACAAAAUUAAGAUGGUAAGAAUAGCUGCCUUUUAGUGGUUUCUCUUUUGAAAAACACAUUGUGACUCAUUGGUACUCUUCAGAAUACAUGUUUUUCAUUGUAAUCUCUUAUUUUCAAAUUUAAAAUUAUUUUUGAAGAGUUGAGAUAUUCAAAUGGUUCAAAAUUCAAAAGAAAUUUAAUUGUUUAAAAUACCUAGAGAUAUUUUAAGCACUGGCAAGUGUGUGUGUAUAAUUAUUAUAUAUUUCCUUUACCUCCUUAAAAAUAGAAAUGGUAGCUUAUUAUAUAUAUUUCAAUGAAGAGAUGAGCUUUUAAUUUUUGUUUUGUACUUUGGAAUAAAAAGUUUUUAUAUGUUACGUAAUUCACAAUCUGUAUGAAAUGUGCCUCUGUCAUCUUUUUUUAGGACUGCCUGGUAUUCUGUUGAGUGUAGAUGUCCCCAUUUUUUUUUUUUUUGUACCAGGUAUUCAGCUUAGGGAAGCUUAACCACUGAGCCACUGCCUCAGCUUCCCAAGCUUCUGGGAUUACAGGCGUGUGCCACUGUUCUUGGCAUGUCUCCAUUUCCCACCCCUGCAACCAAUGGUUGGUGUUAGACUUCUGCUAGAUUGUUGCAUAAUAGUCUUCACUUCAUAAAAUAUCUCAGUGUUGAGAAUCAUUUGUUUCUCAUUCAGCCAGAAAUGUUAUAGAGUUAUAAAAAGAAUGAAGACGAAUGUUGGGGAGCUGAUUAAGGAAGUGUAGUCUUGAGGCACUUUCUAAUGAUGAAAGGUAAGGACUGGCAAGCGGUUAAGAAGAGUUGUUUGUAUGGAUAGGCAAGGCCUCCGGGAGGGUAGGACAUUAAACUAACUUGGAUGAAGAGGCUUCUGGGUAAAAAUCAGGGUCUUCUGGUGUGGGAAUACUGAACACAAGAGUCCCUGGAGAAGAAGUGAAUGAGGUCUACAGCAGAACUGGAUGGAGAACCCUUGUGGUUGGAAUUGAAGAAAGUGAGAGGAGACUGGCAGGCACCAGAGCACUACUGUGUCUGGAGUAAUUGAAACAGGUGAGUGAUAUGAUCUUCCUUAGAGUUUGAAAAUAUCUCUGUCUCUGCUAGGCAGUGGAAAUCAGGAGCUCAAGUAGAAGUUGUUGCUAAUUUAGACAAAAAAAUUACAGCUUGGACUGUGGUGGUAAUAAUGGAAAAGAGAGAACUAGAUUUGGGGUAUGUUUUAUAAGUAGAGCAGUUGGGAUUUGCUCAUAAGUUUUGGAUUUUG